GCUUGUUCCAAGGGGUGCCCUGUUAGAGGGCUGAGAUUCUACCCGCGCGACUGUCAAGGCCAGCAACGUAGUGACCCUCUGAACCUGAUCCGGCUAAUACCGGCGUAGGGAUGUGGAACCGGGGUCACUG
rfam:Plautia stali symbiont DNA, complete genome.